AGGAAUCUGCCUGGUAGUGGGGGACAACGUUUCGAAAGGAACGCUAAUACCGCAUACCUCGGACGGGUGAGUAAUGCCUGGGAAAUUGCCCCAGUCGAGGGGAUAACAGUUGGAAACGACUGCUAAUACCGCAUAACGCCCUACGGGGAAAGCAGGGAACCUUCGGGGCCUUGCGCGAUUGGAUAUGCCCAGGUGGGAUUAGCUAGUUGGUGAAGGUAAAUGGCUCACCAAGGCGAAGAUCCCUAGCUGGGUCUGAGAGGAUGAUCAGCCACACUGGAACUGAGACACGUCCAAGACUCCUACGGGAGGCAGCAGUGGGGAAAUAUUGCACAAUUGGGGAAACCCUGAUGCAGCCAUGCCGCGUGUGUGAAGAAGGCCUUCGGGUUGUAAAAGCACUUUCAGCGAGGAGGAAAGGUCAGUAGCUAAUAUCUGCUGGCUGUGACGUUACUCGCAGAAGAAGCACCGGCUAACUCCGUGCCAGCAGCCGCGGUUAUACGGAGGGUGCAAGCGUUUAAUCGGAAAUUACUGGGCGUAAAGCGCACGCAGGCGGUUGGAUAAAGUUAGAUGUGAAAGGCCCAGGCUCUAACCUGGGAAUUGCAUUUAAAAACUGUCCAGCUAGAGUCUUGUAGAGGGGGUAGAAUUCCAGGUGUAGCGGUGAAAUGCGUAGAAUCUGGAGGAAUACCGGUGGCGAAGGCGGCCCCUUGGACAAAAGACUGACGCUCAGGUGCGAAAGCGUGGGAGCAAACAGGAUUAGAUACCCUGGUAGUCCACGCCGUAAACGAUGUCGGUUUAAGAGGCUGUGUCCUUGAGACGUGGCUUCCGGAGCUAACGCGUUAAAUCGACCGCCUGGGGAGUACGGCCGCAAGGUUAAACUUCAAAUGAAUUGACGGCCCGCACUAGCGGUGGAGCAUGUGGUUUAAUUCGAUGCAACACGAAGAACCUUACCUGGCCUUGACAUGUCUGGAAAUCCUGCAGGAUGCGGAGUGCCUUCGGGAAUCAGAACACAGGUGCUGCAUGGCUGUCGUCAGCUCGUGUCGUGAGAUGUUGGGUUAAAUCCCCGCAACGAGCGCAACCCCUGUCCUUUGUUGCCAGCACGUAAUGGUGGAAACUCAAGGGAGACUGCCGGUGAUAAACCGGAGGAAGGUGGGGAUGACGUCAAGUCAUCAUGGCCCUUACGGCCAGGGCUUACACACGUGCUACAAUGGCGCGUAGAGAGGGCUGCAAGCUAGCGAUAGUGAGCGAAUCCCAAAAAGCGGCGUCGUAGUCCGGAUUGGAGUCUGCAACUCGACUCCGUGAAGUCGGAAUCGCUAGUAAUCGCAAAUCAGAAUGUUGCGGUGAUUACGUUCCGGGGCCUUGUACACACCGCCCGUCACACCAUGGGAGUGGGUUGCACCAGAAGUAGAAUAGGCUUAACCUUCGGGGGCUCG
rnacentral:rRNA from 1 species